UGGGCGGGCGGGACUUCCGGUGGCGGUUCCUUAGCGGGGCGGCUUGCGCGGUAGCGCCUCAGGGAAGAACUUCCGGGAGAAGCGGGCUGGCUGGUGGACGCGCGCAGUCCUCGCGAGACUCCGUAGGUGCGCCCUCGCGAGGUCUGGCCGGGACUUCCGGUCGGAGUUCGUAGCGCGGUAGCGCCUCAGCGAACUUCCGGGAGAAGCGGGCUGGCUCGUGAGGAGACACAACCCUCUCCCGGUACUUCCUGUCUGUGUUCCGGUUUCCGGUCUCGGCCUGUCGCUCGCCCUGGAGGGUCCCGCGCGGUGCGCGGUCGCAGUCGCGCGCUUUGGCCGGAGUCCGAGUUCGGAGCACCAGAACACGCUGUUCCGCCCCGGGCCGCUUCCAGCCCCGGGACAGGGGCGGGGCUCCGGGGUCAGCGGGGCGGGUCUGCUUCCGGUCAGCGGGGCGGGGCCCCUUCCGGUCAGCGGGCAGGGCUACUUCCGGUCAGCGGGGCUGGGCUCCUUCCUGUCAGCGGGGCGGGUCUGCUUCCGGUCAGCGGGGCGGGUCUGCUUCCGGUCAGCGGGGCGG
rnacentral:lncRNA from 1 species